GAGGUCACUGAACAUCUGCUACGAAAGUGAGACAGAGUGAGACGAGAGCCCAGAGGUCACUGAACAUCUGCUACGAAAGUGAGACAGAGUGAGACGAGAGCCCAGAGGUCACUGAACAUCUGCUACGAAAGUGAGACAGAGUGAGACGAGAGCCCAGAGGUCACUGAACAUCUGCU